rnacentral:snoRNA from 1 species
CCUUUUGGAUGGGCAUGAAGAUUGAAGAACUCAUAAAUUCAUGUGUUGCCAUCACCUUCUUCUCUGUCCCCACACAAGAAUGGAGUCGAAUAACAACACAACAUGU